rnacentral:lncRNA from 1 species
ACAUCACAAAUUAGUUUUUUCAAAAAAGGGGUCUAUUUUCUUUACUAAAACCAUAAAUAUCGAAACUAAAAAUUCAUGUCAGUUGUUUUUUUUUUUUUGAAGACCUGAAAUUCCAGCUGUACAGUAAACAAGAGCGAAAAUCAUCCCGCCAAAGGCCCAAGCGAUCCCUUGAAUCCCAACCGUUGUACACUUAGUCUGGUCCUUAACCACACCCAUCACAGUCAAAACGGUGAUGUACAAAAACAAGAAAGUGGCCAUGAACUCUGCAAUCCCGGCCCUGUAAAACGACCAUGAAGUCAGUUCGCCUGGCUCAAACAAUGGUGCCGGGGGUGGCUCCUUGUAGUCCUUGUCAUCUAGGCUCUGAGCUGCCGUGCCAAUUGGCUGCCUCUCAUUGAACCUGUUAGCUCCCAGCCUAACAUCUUCUUCUUUGCCCUCCAUCUCUCUGCUGU